GUCUUGAUAGUUUAAAAAAAAUCUUAUAUUGUGGCUAUAGAGAUACGAUAGUUUGAGACU
rnacentral:tRNA from 1 species